GGGUCGGUGCCUGAGUGGUUAAAAGGGGCGGAUUGUAAAUCCGCUGGUUUUGCCUACACUGGUUCAAAUCCAGUUCGGCCCA
rnacentral:tRNA from 1 species